ACUCCUACGGGAGGCAGCAGUGGGGAAUUUUGGACAAUGGGGGCAACCCUGAUCCAGCCAUGCCGCGUGCGGGAAGAAGGCCUUCGGGUUGUAAACCGCUUUUGUCCGGGAAGAAAAGACUUCUCCUAAUACGAGGGGUUCUUGACGGUACUGGAAGAAUAAGCACCGGCUAACUACGUGCCAGCAGCCGCGGUAAUACGUAGGGUGCGAGCGUUAAUCGGAAUUACUGGGCGUAAAGCGUGCGCAGGCGGUCCGUUAAGUCUGAUGUGAAAGCCCCGGGCUCAACCUGGGAAUGGCAUUGGAAACUGGCGGGCUUGAGUGUGGCAGAGGGGGGUGGAAUUCCACGUGUAGCAGUGAAAUGCGUAGAGAUGUGGAGGAACACCGAUGGCGAAGGCAGCCCCCUGGGCUAACACUGACGCUCAGGCACGAAAGCGUGGGGAGCAAACAGGAUUAGAUACCCUGGUAGUCCACGCCCUAAACUAUGUCAACUGGGUGUUGGGGAAGCGAUUCCUCAGUACCGUAGCUAACGCGUGAAGUUGACCGCCUGGGG
rnacentral:rRNA from 1 species